GAAAACAAAGCAUAGAUUGAGUCCAAUACUUUACUAAUUUCUUCGCUUCCAUAUGUUUUGUUGCCAAAAUAGAUCUUGAGGACAUGUUGUGGUUAAAGAUGUUCAAGUUGAAUAUCUAUGUCUAAGCAAAUUUUCACCUUUGAAAUUUCAUCCAUAACCAGACCAUCCUUUCUUGGCAUUCUUUCUCUUUUCCCAAGGCUAUUCUUCACCCCAUAUUUUUCUAUUCCUAAUUCAGUUAUUUCAUCUAAUGGUGUGCGUC
rnacentral:lncRNA from 1 species